rnacentral:ribozyme from 13 species
CUCUUUCAAAUUUUUUUUUUUUUUUUUUUUUUGUUUUCAACUUGAUAUUUUCUUGAAUAUUAUAAUAGCUAGAAAGCAUCGCUGAUUUG